rnacentral:rRNA from 1 species
UACGUAGGGCGCAAGCGUUGUCCGGAAUUAUUGGGCGUAAAGAGCUCGUAGGCGGCUCGUCACGUCGGGUGUGAAAGCCCGGGGCUUAACCCCGGGUCUGCAUUCGAUACGGGCAGGCUAGAGUGUGGUAGGGGAGAUCGGAAUUCCUGGUGUAGCGGUGAAAUGCGCAGAUAUCAGGAGGAACACCGGUGGCGAAGGCGGAUCUCUGGGCCAUUACUGACGCUGAGGAGCGAAAGCGUGGGGAGCGAACAGG